CUUGUUGAUUCCCGAGCGUCCAAUAAACAAAUGGAUGGUAAGAGGACACAGCCAUCAGGUGCCCAGUUCUGGAGAAAGAGAAAAGAAAAUAGAGGAGAAACGAGCAAAAGAUAAAGGGGACUUUUUAAAAUAUUUUGGAGCACCCUCUACCACUAGCCGGGAUGAGGAACCAUCUACCUCUGCAGCCACACACGUCUCCACAAAUGUUGUCUGAUCCUGAGGAUGAAGACCCAUUUACCUCUACUUCUCCCCAGCAAAACUCAGAAAUGCCUGGAGCAGGAUCAUCUACUGAGGAUGAGCCUCUGUGCACUGACCUGCUAACUGGCCUUCAGUUCUGACUGUGAGAAUUCAGACACAACUGGUUUCCAGGGGACCAAGUCACUUUGUAUUCCCUAG